AUAGACUGUUCGCGUCGUGGUAAAUCCCACGGCCGGGUGUAGCAACCCGAAAG
rfam:Pseudomonas sp. Chol1 Contig74, whole genome shotgun sequence.